CUACCUUUCUUGGCCUUUUGGCUAAGAUCAAAUGUAGUAUCUGUUCUUAUCAGUUUAAUAUGUGAUACAUGGCCCAUUGGGUCACAAGAUAUUAAAUUAUAAAUUUCUUGUGGGGUAGGUCCCACCACACUAGCUUGCUAGUGCGGUCCUUGAGCGUCACCCUUCUGUUCCACUAUUGCAUGGGUCUAGCACACCCCUC